CUCCGCUUGGUGUAGUUGGUUUGUAUGUCUAUCCCACUCUUCUCCUAUAAUAACUCAUCACUAACACUCUCUCAGAUCACGUUCGACUGUAAUAGCAAUUGUUAUCGAAAGGUCCCUAGUUCGAUUCUGGGAGCGGAGA